GACGAACGCUGGCGGCGUGCUUAACACAUGCAAGUCGAACGGAAAGGCCCUGCUCUGGUGGGGUGCUCGAGUGGCGAACGGGUGAGUAACACGUGAGUAACCUGCCCUUGACUGUGGGAUAACUUCAGGAAACUGGGGCUAAUACCUGAUAGGAGCUCCUGCUGCAUGGUGGGGGUUGGAAAGUUUCGGCGGUGGGGGAUGGACUCGCGGCUUAUCAGCUUGUUGGUGGGGUAGUGGCUUACCAAGGCUUUGACGGGUAGCCGGCCUGAGAGGGUGACCGGCCACAUUGGGACUGAGAUACGGCCCAGACUCCUACGGGAGGCAGCAGUGGGGAAUAUUGCCCAAUGGGCGGAAGCCUGAUGCAGCAACGCCGCGUGCGGGAUGACGGUCUUCGGGUUGUAAACCGCUUUCGCCUGAGACGAAGCGUGGGUGACGGUAAUGGGUAAAGAAGCACCGGCUAACUACGUG
rnacentral:rRNA from 1 species